AGGGCUGCGGGGGAAGACGGACAGUGAAAAGGUGGAGGGGAGCGUCCAGUGUUGAGCAGAAAGAGGCUGCUCAGGCAGAGGCGCACCAGAUAG